rnacentral:lncRNA from 1 species
GAUCUAAUCAGGGUUGACAGUUUAAUCCUGAGUCAUCCUAUACACAGGGGUCAAAAGAGAUGAAUUAUACAGUAACCAUAUUCACGUAGGUUUUGAGUAUUGUGAUUGUGACUAUUCGAUCUAUUUGGAUGUCGGGUAUCAUUGUUAGAUGGUCAUUUUGAUUAGUACAGGAAUUGGUUCCUGUGCUAUCGAUUUAGGUUCGAACCUGCGGGGUCACACAUAUUAGAGGUUCCUAUUAGAUCUGAUGGUUGAUGAAGAGUCCUAAUGCUCGUGGACUAUGAGUCCUACAUGUCUGAGACUCUGUGAUCGAGAAUCAGGAUUCUCUGAUCAUGAGUCCCACAUAUUUUGUGUACCGGGGUCAAGAGUCCCACUGGUUUGGGACUCUUCGAUCAAGGUUUCAUAUCGAUGGAUUUUGAUACCCGAUUGCCCAUCGAAUUUAGACUCAGUAUUUAUGAGAGGUUUAAUUAGUAAUUUGAUCACUAAUUAACUCAAUU